AUAUCUGAAGUUUAAAAUAGCAUAAUAAAAAAUAUAUGUUGCGAGAUGAAGCUGUUGUGCAAAGCCACCUUUUUUUAUCCUCUAUAAACCAUAUCGCUUCAUGUAAUUCAAGUUUAAAACAACUUCCAUAUAAAAGAGGAGACAUAGCAACAUCAUUAACCGGGCGCUCUGUCACAUAGGUCUUGAUAAGCUCCAGUGUUCUGGCAUCCCAAAGCUGAAAGAGCAUUUGCAGAAAAGCAAGAAAAGAUCAGGCAGUUGAAUGAAACAGUUAAACCGAGAAUAGCAGAAUACAUACAUACAUGUAAUUGCACAAUUGUAUUUUCAACAAUGAACAUGUAUUUUCACAAGUUAUUACCAACAAAAAUUUAUACCCAACCAGAAAUUUUCACCAAAUAAUUACCAACAAAAAAUUCAACGUGUAAUACAUAUACCAACCGAAAAUUUUCACCAAGUAAUUACCAACAAACAAUUUUCACCAAGUAAUUACCAACAAAAAUUUAUACCCAACCGGCAAUAUACCAAAAAAAUUUCAGAACCACCCAGCACAAAAAACCAUACCCAGAAUGCUGGUAAAUCUGCAAUUUUACAUGCAAAUCAAACCUCAACUGUCAAUAAGCCACUAUCCAGUGUGCAAAACCAGGCUCAAAGUUCUGAAAUUUUUUAUAAAGAUCAAAUUUUGAAGGCGAAUCAAACCUUAGUUGUCAAUAAGGCACCAUCCAAUUGAAGAACCAAACUCAAAGUUUGGAAAUUUCUGUUGAAGAUCAAAAUUUGAAGGCAAAUCAGAGUGCUGCACCUGCUAGCAAGAGCACUAAUUCAAGCUCAUUGGUGAAGGAUGGAGUGGCAUCGAAUGACUCGGCAUCUUUGGCGAAGAAACAGGGUAAUGAUGGGAAGAAAUAGAGAAUGGAAAUAAUGCAGGGGUAGUGGUGAAGCAGGGGAAUGAGGGUUGGAUUGAUGGAGAAUGGGUUCAUAUCUGCUUUAAAAUAUGAUUUUGAUGAGCAAUUAUAAAAAAAUAUCAAAAAUUAAUUAUCAAAAUAAAUAUCAAAAAAUUAAUUAC
rnacentral:lncRNA from 1 species